GAUUUCCCUGGCUAUCGUGGCAGCAUUCACUUAUGGGUGAUCCCUUGGUUUUCCUUUACGGUAGCAGUGGGAUGUCCAAUUAGAGAUAUACCGAGCAAGUGGCCCAGUCGAUAUGGACACCCAGAGAAGAGGCAACACAGUCUGCGGCACGACUACCAGUUAUAUACUCUUCCCUGCCAUCUUUGACACCACACAAGGAGGCGGGCCAGGCAGGAGUCUAUAAAUGCUACAGGCAUUGGAGAUGGGAAAGCAGUCAUGCCUAUAGUUUUGGCGCACCACCCACCAUGACCAGCCAAAGGAUCCAACAGCUUUUGAGUCUAGUCUGUGCACUUAUAUUGCUUGGCUAGAGCUUCCAAAAUGUUGUAUUCCUCGGUAGCAUGUAGAAGUAUACAGGGCUCUGUGGCUCAGUAGCAUAUACUGUAUCUAGGACAUUUUUUUAUUAAAAUAAAGAAAAAUAUCCAGAGCCCAGCAGUAUGGUCACCUGCUUUCAGUUCCCACACAGGCUUUAUUAUGCCACAAUGUUGACUGAUCCUGGAUUAAAACACUGUGCCAGAUACCAUGUGUUAAUGCCAUGGAGUGAUUAAAGGACUUCCUAAAUCACAUGAUCUCAUUUAUGCCUUUUGUUUAAAAUACCCUUUUUAUUAGUUUUUUAAAGCCCAGCUUCAUGACGUGAACUAGUAUUGUUUGCUAAAUGAGACUACUUUGUUUGCAUUAACCAGUUGCAUUCUAUUUUCCCAUAAACUCCACAAUAUAUAUUGAAUAAAGAUGUGAAACAUUUUCAUAUUACCACUUGCAGCUGCCACAUAUUUGCAUGCAAGAUAUACUUUUACUAUUCUUCUUUGUUCCCUGAACUGAUUCUUUGAAUUGCUUAGUCCUGUGGUAAGUUUCUACAACUACUCUAUCUUUUAGGCUUUGUGACAAAAGGGCAGGGGUUAUUUUAUGGCGCAGGCUUUUCACUUUCUUGUUUUUCCCACACCUUAUUCAUUCUAAUUUGUCUUAUUGGUACAAAUACAGUGGUGUGAAAAACUAUU